rnacentral:rRNA from 1 species
AGUGAACGCUGGCGGUAGGCCUAACACAUGCAAGUCGAACGGCAGCACAGUAAGAGCUUGCUCUUACGGGUGGCGAGUGGCGGACGGGUGAGGAAUACAUCGGAAUCUACUUUUUCGUGGGGGAUAACGUAGGGAAACUUACGCUAAUACCGCAUACGACCUACGGGUGAAAGCAGGGGAUCUUCGGACCUUGCGCGAUUGAAUGAGCCGAUGUCGGAUUAGCUAGUUGGCGGGGUAAAGGCCCACCAAGGCGACGAUCCGUAGCUGGUCUGAGAGGAUGAUCAGCCACACUGGAACUGAGGCACGGUCCAGACUCCUACGGGAGGCAGCAGUGGGGAAUAUUGGACAAUGGGCGCAAGCCUGAUCCAGCCAUACCGCGUGGGUGAAGAAGGCCUUCGGGUUGUAAAGCCCUUUUGUUGGGAAAGAAAAGCAGCAGGUUAAUACCCCGCUGUUCUGACGGUACCCAAAGAAUAAGCACCGGCUAACUUCGU